rnacentral:rRNA from 1 species
CAUGUAGGCGGAUAUGCAAGCUUGGUGUGAAAGGCAGGGGCUUAACUCCUGGACUGCGUUGAGAACUGCAUAACUAGAGUAACUGAGGGGCAACCGGAAUUCCAGGUGUAGGGGUGAAAUCUGUAGAUAUCUGGAAGAACACCAAUGGCGAAGGCAGGUUACCAGCAGAUUACUGACGCUGAGGUGCGAAGGUGCGGGGAGCAAACAG